AUUGAACGCUGGCGGCAGGCCUAACACAUGCAAGUCGAACGAGCGGCGGACGGGUGAGUAAUGUAUUGAGAUCUGCGCGAUAUAGCGGGCUGACUACUGGAAACCGUGGCUAAUACCGCAUAAUAUCGGAUGAACCCACAUUGGAUGAGCUAGGAGGUGGGGUAAAGGCUCACCUAGGCGACGAUCGCUAGCUGGUCUGAGAGGAUGAUCAGCAAAACUGGGACUGAGACACGGCCCAGACUCAUACGGGAGGAAGCAGUAGGGAAUAUUGCACAAUGGGCGCAAGCCUGAUGCAGCCAUGCCGCGUGUGUGAAGAAGGUCUUAGGGUUGUAAAGUACUUUCAGCGGGGAAGCGUUACCCGAAGAAGAAGCACCGGCUAACUCCGGGCCAGCAGCCGCGGUAAUUC
rnacentral:rRNA from 1 species